GACGAACGCUGGCGGCGCGCUUAACACAUGCAAGUCGAACGAGUGGCGAACGGGGGAGUAAUACGUGAGUAACCUGCCCUCUCUUUGGGAUAAGCCUUGGAAACGGGGUCUAAUACAGGAUAAAGGGGGAUGGGCUCGUGGCCUUUCAGCUUGUGGGUGGGGUGAUGGCCUACCAAGGCGGUGACGGGUAGCCGGCCUGAGAGGGUGACCGGCACGAUUGGGACUAGGUUACGGCCCAGACUCCUACAGUGGGCAGCAGUGGUGGAUAGUGGACAAUGUGCGAAAGCCUGAUGCAGCGACGCCGCGUGGGGGAUGAAAGCUUUGGGGUUGUAAACCUCUUUCGCUAUCGAAGAAUGGGUGGGGGGUAAGCGCCGGCUAACUACGUGCCAGCAGCCGCGAUAAUAC
rnacentral:rRNA from 1 species